rnacentral:hammerhead_ribozyme from 1 species
AUUCAGCUGACGAGUCCUAAAAAUAGGACGAAACACUCAUCCUAGAU